rnacentral:lncRNA from 1 species
CUUUUCCCCAAGCUAAGUUUAGGGCAAGAGGCUCUUUUUGUUUGUGAAUGGAGGCAGUCUGAGGGUGAAACAGGAUGCCCCAAACAGAAGGAAGGGCCCAAGGAAAUCUGCCAUCUGGAGAGUGAGCUGUAGGGGCACCUUGGAUUCCUAUGCAGAAUUGUCCUUAGAUUUAGGCAACAGCCUGGCGAGCCUGACUCUUGCUGAACAGAGAGGCUGUGCCUCUCUCAUGUGAAGAGUGGAUGUCAUCCACACACGUGGGGGAAA